UACAGAGGGUGCGAGCGUUAAUCGGAUUUACUGGGCGUAAAGGGCGCGUAGGCGGUGAGAUGAGUGUGAUGUGAAAGCCCCGGGCUUAACCUGGGAAGGGCAUCGCAAACGAUCUGACUGGAGUAGGUGAGAGGGUGGCGGAAUUUCCGGUGUAGCGGUGAAAUGCGUAGAGAUCGGAAGGAACGUCGAUGGCGAAGGCAGCCACCUGGCACCAUACUGACGCUGAAGCGCGAAAGCGUGGGGAUCGAAC
rnacentral:rRNA from 1 species